AAGUCGUAACAAGGUUUCCGUAGGUGAACCUGCGGAAGGAUCAUUAAUGAAUCUUCUAAAGUCGGCUUGUCAUCUGUGCUGGUGGCGCCACAAUGUGCACGUUGACAGUCGCAAAUCUCACACACCUUGUGCACCUAUGACUCUGAGUACCGCUUUGCAUGGGCCCCCUUAAAGGGCCCUGGUACUCGAGUACUUUACAACACACUCUGAAUGUAAUGGAAUGUCUAUUUGUACAAUGUACAACUAAAACAACUUUCAACAACGGAUCUCUUGGCUCUC
rnacentral:misc_RNA from 1 species